rnacentral:tRNA from 1 species
GGAGAGAUGUCCGAGUGGUCUAUGGUACCUGACUCGAAAUCAGGCGUGGGCGUUAUGCUUCCACCAAGGGUUCAAAUCCCUUUCUCUCCG